rnacentral:rRNA from 1 species
CGCGUAGGCGGAUGCUUAAGUCAGAGGUGAAAGCCCAGGGCUCAACCUUGGAACUGCCUUUGAUACUGGGCAUCUUGAGUGCGGGAGAGGUGAGUGGAACUCCGAGUGUAGAGGUGAAAUUCGUAGAUAUUCGGAAGAACACCAGUGGCGAAGGCGACUCACUGGCCCGUUACUGACGCUGAGGCGCGAAAGCGUGGGGAGCAAACAGGAUUAGAUACCCUGGUAGUCCACGCCGUAAACGAUGAGUGCUAGUUGUCGGCAUGCAUGCAUGUCGGUGACGCAGCUAACGCAUUAAGCACUCCGCCUGGGGAGUACGGUCGUAAGAUUAAA